GAUGAACGCUGGCGGCGUGCCUAAUACAUGCAAGUCGAGCGAACAGAUGAGGAGCUUGCUCCUCUGACGUUAGCGGCGGACGGGUGAGUAACACGUGGAUAACCUACCUAUAAGACUGGGAUAACUUCGGGAAACCGGAGCUAAUACCGGAUAAUAUAUUGAACCGCAUGGUUCAAUAGUGAAAGACGGUUUUGCUGUCACUUAUGGAUGGAUCCGCGCCGCAUUAGCUAGUUGGUAAGGUAACGGCUUACCAAGGCAACGAUGCGUAGCCGACCUGAGAGGGUGAUCGGCCACACUGGAACUGAGACACGGUCCAGACUCCUACGGGAGGCAGCAGUAGGGAAUCUUCCGCAGUGGGCGAAAGCCUGACGGAGCAACGCCGCGUGAGUGAUGAAGGUCUUCGGAUCGUAAAACUCUGUUAUUAGGGAAGAACAAAUGUGUAAGUAACUAUGCACGUCUUGACGGUACCUAAUCAGAAAGCCACGGCUAACUACGU
rnacentral:rRNA from 1 species